rnacentral:rRNA from 1 species
CUCAGGAUGAACGCUGGCGGCGUGCCUAAUACAUGCAAGUCGAAUGGUAGUAGCAAUACAAACCAUGGCGAACGGGUGAGUAACACGUAGGUAACCUGUCUUUAAGACGAGGAUAACCAUUGGAAACGAUGGAUAAUACUGGAUAGGACAUCACAAAGGGCAUCCUUAGAUGUUUAAAGAUUAUUAUGUCACUUAGAGAGGGGCCUGCGGCGCAUUAGCUAGUUGGUGAGGUAAAAGCCCACCAAGGCGAUGAUGCGUAGCCGGACUGAGAGGUUGAACGGCCACAAUGGAACUGAGAACGGUCCAUACUCCUACGGGAGGCAGCAGUAGGGAAUUUUCGGCAAUGGGCGCAAGCCUGAACCCGAGCAACGCCGCGUGAACGAAGAAGUUAUUCGUAAUGUAAAGUUCUUUUAUCUGGGAAGAAAAACAAAUUGACGGUACCAGAUGAAUAAGCUCCGGCUAACUACGUGCCAGCAGCCGC